rnacentral:rRNA from 1 species
UACGUAGGGGGCAAGCGUUGUCCGGAUUUAUUGGGCGUAAAGAGCGUGUAGGCGGCCAGGUAGGUCUGCUGUGAAAACUCGAGGCUUAACCUCGGGCCUGCAGUGGGUACGGGCAGACUGGAGUGCGGUAGGGGAGAAUGGAAUUCCCGGUGUAGUGGUGAUAUGCGUAGAUAUCGGGAGGAACACCGGUGGCGAAGGCGGGUCUCUGGGCCGAUACUGACGCUGAGGAGCGAAAGCGUGGGGAGCGAACAGG